AUUGAACGCUGGCGGCAUGCCUUACACAUGCAAGUCGAACGGUAACGGGUCUUCGGAUGCUGACGAGUGGCGAACGGGUGAGUAAUACAUCGGAACGUGCCUAGUAGUGGGGGAUAACUACUCGAAAGAGUGGCUAAUACCGCAUGAGAUCUACGGAUGAAAGCAGGGGAUCGCAAGACCUUGUGCUACUAGAGCGGCCGAUGGCGGAUUAGGUAGUUGGUGGGAUAAAAGCUUACCAAGCCGACGAUCUGUAGCUGGUCUGAGAGGACGAUCAGCCGCACUGGGGCGGAGAAACGGCCCAGACGCCUACGGGGGGCAGCAGUGGGGAAUUUUGGACAAUGGGCGCAAGCCGGAUCCAGCAAUGCCGCGUGCAGGAUGAAGGCCUUCGGGUUGUAAACUGCUUUUGUACGGAACGAAAAGCCCCGGGUUAAUACCCUGGGGUCAUGACGGUACUGUAAGAAUAAGCACCGGCUAACUACGUGCCAGCCGCCGCAGUAA
rnacentral:rRNA from 1 species